AAAAAAUUAUCGACUAUUUAUGAAUAUUUUUAUCCCAAUACUUUUACAAAAUAAUCUUAUUUCAGAGGUUUUUGUUCUUAGCUAGUUUUCAUUGCAAUACUAUAUAAUAUAACAUAAAUUAUUUAAAUAACGAUAAAUAAACAUAUUACGGUAUAUAAAUGUGCAUUUUGUUAUAUUUUAAAUGUCAUUAUUACAUUCUCUAGUGCACGUAUAACCGGUAUUAAACACAAUGUUAAAAAUUAUGCUCUUAAGCAUAAUUUUGAUGCAAAACCUUCUACUUCAACAACUAUCAGAAGCUUCAGGAGAUGUUAUACAUAUUAAUGUAACAAAUGUCGCAUCAAAUACAAGAGACGGGAAGACAAAGAAAAGUGUUCAAAAAUACAUAAUAGAUGUACAUGACAAGAAGAAAGUAAAGUCUGUAUUAUAAUAUUGGUGUUUUUCAAUAUAUAUAAUAAAUAAUAAA